rnacentral:misc_RNA from 1 species
GGUGGUUGUGGUAAGUACAAUUUGAGGACAUCUGUAAAACUUUUUAGUAAUGUGAUAUUAUUUACCAUGCUGUCCUUGUAAAUAAUCUUAUGUCAAUCGGUAAAUAGUUAAAGCAUUUUCACCAUUUUUUUUUAUUAUGUGUUACCUUCUAAUUAAGAUUAUCACAUGGUUUUCAAUUUAAUAAAUUUGCAUUGGAGAUGGCUGUU